CUCAGAUCACGACUUGAAAAAGUCAGGCACGUAAAAAAAAAAAGACAACCAGGAACAUCGUCAAAACCUGAGUCCCAACCAGUUCAAAAUCCAUAUCUACUGCGCCAUAAUCCUCCAACAAUCCAUAAAACCCAAAAGAGACAACUACAAAUCAUUUUCGUUACAAAUUCUCGACAAUCAAGUUUUCUCCAAGUAAAAUGGAAAACCUUGCCCAAUUAUAAAUAAGGGUUUCCUUCGAUCCAAUUAACAUCAUUUUUACGACCUCAGCGGUGUUAAUAAAACCCUCUACCUUUCAUGGCAUACAAACUUCGCUCCCCAGUCAAGUUAAAUUUCAAAUCUCUUUCACAUUGAGAACAAUUCGAUUAUUAAUUACCUUGGAGAUGCUCUUGCCGAAGUGCAGGUGGAGGAACGCCGGUAUCGCUUAGACCAACAGCUCAUCGGAAUCGCACCGACUUUGUGACGGAGUGGUACGGGCUAUGGCCGGAGGGAGUGUUGAGGGAAGAAGAGUUGGGGAAGAAAAAAAGGAAUUCGAGGGACAAACGAAGGAAAAAGGCAGGAUUCCGACUGUUUAAUUUAGUCGGGUUUAAUGAGGUGGGGCAAGGAGGUCAGACGUGAUACGGUCGGGAACGGAAGUCAGAGCUUAAAGGUCGGACACUCAGAUCACGACUUGAAAAAGUCAGGCAAUCAAUGUCUGUUCUAAAUAUUACCUUAAAUUUUUGCAGUCGAAAUUGGACAAGGAUGACUGUUUGCAAAACCUUGUCGAGGAACAGAUUCAGAGUUAAUUCAAUCUUGUCCUCUCUUGUAAUGUUAUUAAGGUAGAUCCUUUUGUAAAGUAACAGCUUCUCCAUACUCUUAAAACUUUAUUUCAGUAUUUCUUUCAUGAUCA